rnacentral:rRNA from 1 species
UACGUAGGGUCCGAGCGUUGUCCGGAAUUACUGGGCGUAAAGAGCUCGUAGGUGGUUUGUCGCGUUGUCCGUGAAAACUCACAGCUUAACUGUGGGCGUGCGGGCGAUACGGGCAGACUGGAGUACUGCAGGGGAGACUGGAAUUCCUGGUGUAGCGGUGGAAUGCGCAGAUAUCAGGAGGAACACCGGUGGCGAAGGCGGGUCUCUGGGCAGUAACUGACGCUGAGGAGCGAAAGCGUGGGGAGCGGACAGG